UGCCAGCCGCCGCGGUAAUACGGAGGGGGUUAGCGUUGUUCGGAAUUACUGGGCGUAAAGCGCGCGUAGGCGGUUAAUUAAGUCAGAUGUGAAAUCCCAGGGCUCAACCUUGGAACUGCAUUUGAAACUGGUUAACUAGAGUUUUGUAGAGGGUGGUAGAAUUUCAGGUGUAGCGGUGAAAUGCGUAGAGAUCUGAAGGAAUACCAGUGGCGAAGGCGGCCACCUGGACAAUAACUGACGCUGAGGCGCGAAGGCGUGGGGAGCAAACGGGAUUAGAUA
rnacentral:rRNA from 1 species